UACGUAGGGGGCUAGCGUUGUCCGGAUUUAUUGGGCGUAAAGAGCUCGUAGGCGGUUUGUCGCGUCGACUGUGAAAACCCGGGGCUUAACCUCGGGCCUGCAGUCGAUACGGGCAGACUAGAGUUCGGUAGGGGAGACUGGAAUUCCUGGUGUAGCGGUGAAAUGCGCAGAUAUCAGGAGGAACACCGGUGGCGAAGGCGGGUCUCUGGGCCGAUACUGACGCUGAGGAGCGAAAGCGUGGGGAGCGAACAGG
rnacentral:rRNA from 1 species